rnacentral:rRNA from 1 species
GAUGAACGCUGGCGGCGUGCCUAAUACAUGCAAGUCGAGCGAACGGACGAGAAGCUUGCUUCUCUGAUGUUAGCGGCGGACGGGUGAGUAACACGUGGAUAACCUACCUAUAAGACUGGGAUAACUUCGGGAAACCGGAGCUAAUACCGGAUAAUAUUUUGAACCGCAUGGUUCAAAAGUGAAAGACGGUCUUGCUGUCACUUAUAGAUGGAUCCGCGCUGCAUUAGCUAGCUGGCAAGGUAACGGCUUACCAAGGCAACGAUGCAUAGCCGACCUGAGAGGGUGAUCGGCCACACUGGAACUGAGACACGGUCCAGACUCCUACGGGAGGCAGCAGUAGGGAAUCUUCCGCAAUGGGCGAAAGCCUGACGGAGCAACGCCGCGUGAGUGAUGAAGGUCUUCGGAUCGUAAAACUCUGUUAUUAGGGAAGAACAUAUGUGUAAGUAACUGUGCACAUCUUGACGGUACCUAAUCAGAAAGCCACGGCUAACUACGUG